rnacentral:rRNA from 1 species
UACGUAGGGUGCAAGCGUUGUCCGGAAUUAUUGGGCGUAAAGAGCUCGUAGGCGGUUUGUCGCGUCUGCUGUGAAAACCCAGGGCUUAACCCUGGGCCUGCAGUGGGUACGGGCAGACUAGAGUGCGGUAGGGGAGAUUGGAAUUCCUGGUGUAGCGGUGGAAUGCGCAGAUAUCAGGAGGAACACCGAUGGCGAAGGCAGAUCUCUGGGCCGUAACUGACGCUGAGGAGCGAAAGCAUGGGGAGCGAACAGG